GAGUUUGAUCCUGGCUCAGGACGAACGCUGGCGGCGUGCUUAACACAUGCAAGUCGAGCGGUAGGGCCCUUUCGGGGGUACACGAGCGGCGAACGGGUGAGUAACACGUGGGUAACCUGCCCUCAGCUCUGGGAUAAGCCCGGGAAACUGGGUCUAAUACCGGAUAUGACUCCGCAUCGCAUGGUGUGGGGUGGAAAGCCUUGUGCGGCUGAGGAUGGGCCCGCGGACUAUCAGCUUGUUGGUGGGGUAGUGGCCUACCAAGGCGACGACGGGUAGCCGGCCUGAGAGGGCGACCGGCCACACUGGGACUGAGACACGGCCCAGACUCCUACGGGAGGCAGCAGUGGGGAAUAUUGCGCAAUGGGCGAAAGCCUGACGCAGCGACGCCGCGUGAGGGAUGACGGCCUUCGGGUUGUAAACCUCUUUCAGCUCCGACGAAGCCUUCGGGUGACGGUAGGGGCAGAAGAAGCACCGGCCAACUACGUGCCAGCAGCCGCGGUAAUACGUAGGGUGCAAGCGUUGUCCGGAAUUAUUGGGCGUAAAGAGCUCGUAGGCGGUUUGUCGCGUCGACUGUGAAAACUCAGGGGCUCAACUCCGAGCUUGCAGUUGAUACGGGCAGACUAGAGUUCGGCAGGGGAGACUGGAAUUCCUGGUGUAGCGGUGAAAUGCGCAGAUAUCAGGAGGAACACCGGUGGCGAAGGCGGGUCUCUGGGCCGAUACUGACGCUGAGGAGCGAAAGCGUGGGGAGCGAACAGGAUUAGAUACCCUGGUAGUCCACGCCGUAAACGUUGGGCGCUAGGUGUGGGGUCCCUUUCCACGGGUUCCGUGCCGCAGCUAACGCAUUAAGCGCCCCCCCUGGGGAGUACGGCCCAAGGCUAAACUCAAGGAUUGACGGGGCCCGCACAA
rnacentral:rRNA from 1 species